UUACGGCCAUAUCACGCUGAAACGCUGGUUCUCGUACGAUCACCGAACUUAAACAACGUCGAGGCUGUUCAAUACCUAGAUGGGUGACCGCUUGGAAAUACCAGGUGCUGUAA